GACGAACGCUGGCGGCGUGCUUAACACAUGCAAGUCGAACGGAAAGGCCCUGCUUUUGUGGGGUGCUCGAGUGGCGAACGGGUGAGUAACACGUGAGUAACCUGCCCUUGACUUUGGGAUAACUUCAGGAAACUGGGGCUAAUACCGGCUAGGAGCUCCUGCUGCAUGGUGGGGGUUGGAAAGUUUCGGCGGUUGGGGAUGGACUCGCGGCUUAUCAGCUUGUUGGUGGGGUAGUGGCUUACCAAGGCUUUGACGGGUAGCCGGCCUGAGAGGGUGACCGGCCACAUUGGGACUGAGAGACGGCCCAGACUCCUACGGGAGGCAGCAGUGGGGAAUAUUGCACAAUGGGCGGAAGCCUGAUGCAGCAACGCCGCGUGCGGGAUGACGGCCUUCGGGUUGUAAACCGCUUUCGCCUGUGACGAAGCGUGAGUGACGGUAAUGGGUAAAGAAGCACCGGCUAACUACGUG
rnacentral:rRNA from 1 species